GAUGAACGCUGGCGGCGUGCCUAAUACAUGCAAGUCGAGCGAACAGACGAGGAGCUUGCUCCUCUGACGUUAGCGGCGGACGGGUGAGUAACACGUGGAUAACCUACCUAUAAGACUGGGAUAACUUCGGGAAACCGGAGCUAAUACCGGAUAAUAUAUUGAACCGCAUGGUUCAAUAGUGAAAGACGGUUUUGCUGUCACUUAUAGAUGGAUCCGCGCCGCAUUAGCUAGUUGGUAAGGUAACGGCUUACCAAGGCGACGAUGCGUAGCCGACCUGAGAGGGUGAGCCGGCCAACUUGGAAAGAGACCCGGCUCAAAACCCCACGGGGGGGAAGAAGUGGGGAAUUUGCAGAAGGGGGGGAAAGCCGAACGGGGCAACGCGGGGGGAGGAUUAAGGGUUUUGGGUUCGAAAAACCUUGUUAUUGGGGAAAAAAAAAUGUGUAAAAAACUGGGCGGGCAUUGACGGAACCUAAGAAAAAAGCCAGGGCAAACUACGU
rnacentral:rRNA from 1 species